rnacentral:rRNA from 1 species
GUGGUAAUGCCGGAUGCUCCGGUUGGAUGCAUGUCCUUCCGGGAAAGAUCCGUCGGUAUGGGAUGGGGUCGCGUCCUAUCAGCUUGAUGGCGGGGUAACGGCCCACCAUGGCUUCGACGGGUAGCCGGCCUGAGAGGGCGACCGGCCACAUUGGGACUGAGAUACGGCCCAGACUCCUACGGGAGGCAGCAGUGGGGAAUAUUGCACAAUGGGCGCAAGCCUGAUGCAGCGACGCCGCGUGCGGGAUGGAGGCCUUCGGGUUGUAAACCGCUUUUGAUCGGGAGCAAGCCCUUCGGGGUGAGUGUACCUUUCGAAUAAGCACCGGCUAACUACGUGCCAGCAGCCGCGGUAAUACGUAGGGUGCAAGCGUUAUCCGGAAUUAUUGGGCGUAAAGGGCUCGUAGGCGGUUCGUCGCGUCCGGUGUGAAAGCCCAUCGCUUAACGGUGGGUCUGCGCCGGGUACGGGCGGGCUGGAGUGCGGUAGGGGAGACUGGAAUUCCCGGUGUAACGGUGGAAUGUGUAGAUAUCGGAAAAGAAC